rnacentral:rRNA from 1 species
UCGCGACGUAGUUGACUCCCGUGGACCGUCGAAGGACGAACGCUGGCGGCGUGCCUAACACAUGCAAGUCGAACGGAGUUGUUACUUCGGUGAUAACUUAGUGGCGAACGGGUGAGUAACGCGUGAGAAACCUGCCUUUCAGUGGGGACAACAGUUGGAAACGACUGCUAAUACCGCAUAAUGUCAUUUAAGGGCAUCCUUGAAUGACCAAAGCUUAAUGUGCUGAAAGAUGGUCUCGCGUCUGAUUAGCUAGUUGGUGGGGUAACGGCUCACCAAGGCGACGAUCAGUAGCCGGUCUGAGAGGAUGAACGGCCACAUUGGGACUGAGAUACGGCCCAGACUCCUACGGGAGGCAGCAGUGGGGAAUAUUGGGCAAUGGGGGAAACCCUGACCCAGCAACGCCGCGUGAAGGAAGAAGGCCUUCGGGUUGUAAACUUCUUUUAGCAGGGACGAAGGACGUGACGGUACCUGCAGAAAAAGCAACGGCUAACUACGUG